GUAUUUAACCUGCACUGCAGGUGAACUUGAAGAAGAAGAUGAUUACGUGAAUACAGCUGUUUACAUUGUGAACAAAAAGCCACCCACUUCAGAUAAGAAGAUUCUCUCCAUCAUUCAGCGCUUUUCACCAGUAGCAGUGUGUUGGGGGGUAUUGUUGCUUAUCAUGGCUCUCCGUAUUUACUGGGUUCAUCUUCAAUAGCACCUCAGCCAGUUUGGGAGACACCUCCUUCUGGAUUGGCCUCAGAGUUGAAGAGGGCAGCUGGACAUGGGUCAGUGGAGGUCGUCUGAAUGAACACUACUGGAUAUAUGGACCUGCUGACGACCACCACUGUGUGAUUUCUGUCACAGACACUGAAGGAUGGGAGGCUGUGAGCUGUGACGUUAAAAAUGGAUGGGUCUGUGAGAUGAGUGCUUCCUCUCUCUAAGUAGGCAAAUGCAGCCAAAACAUUUAAGAAAAAAAAAUACUUGAUAGACUGAACUGCUUAUAUGUUACAAAUAACAAUGCUCCCACUGAGAAAAAAAUCUAAUUUUAUGAUCACUUGUGCAACAUGGGAUAUCCUGCACAACCAAAUUAAUGCUGAUCCGCAUUCUUUAUGUCGCCAGACUCUCAAAGCCGAAAUAACAAGCCAUGAAAGCAACGGUCAAAUGCUUAUUUGUUUGUGUGGAGUUUGUAUCAAUACACUUUGUUGAUUUUUUGCUGCAGAAACUGAUUUUAUUGAACAUUUUAUAUUGUACAAUA